rnacentral:rRNA from 1 species
AUGUACAAGUACAAACGAUUCAAUCGUGAAACCGCGAACGGCUCAUUAUAACAGCUAUAAUCCACUUGAUCUGGAAAUCCUACUCGGAUAACUGUGGUAAUUCUAGAGCUAAUACGUGCACAAAGACCCUUCGGGGCGCAUCCGCUUGCAGAAAACCGGACGUCCCUCGGGGCGCUCCACGUUGACUCAGAGCAACUAAGCUGAUCGUACGGCCCAGUGUCGGCGACGUGUCUUUCGAGUGUCUGCCUUAUCAACUUGUCGGUAGCGUAUUGGACUACCGUGGUGGUGACGGGUAACGGAGAAUUAGGGUUCGACUCCGGAGAAGGGGCCUGAGAAAUGGCCACUACGUCUAAGGAUGGCAGCAGGCGCGCAAAUUACCCACUCUCGGCACGAGGAGGUAGUGACGAAAAAUAACGGGGCUGGCCCUAUGGGUUGGCGAUCGGAAUGGGCUCAAUGUAAACGAUUGGGCGAGUAUCUAUGAGAGGGCAAGUCUGGUGCCAGCAGCCGCGGUAAUUCCAGCUCUCAGAAUGCAUAGAACCAUUGCUGCGGUUAAAAAGCUCGUAGUUGGAUUUGGGCGCGGGCCCACGACCUCGCUUCGGCGUUGCUCGGCGGUGUCCCGUGCUUCAUGCCGGCUGAAGGCCAUGGCUUAGGCUGUGCGCCAAUGGCUGGCGAGUUUACUUUGAACAAAUCAGAGUGCUCAAGACAGGCUCAACGCCUGAAUGCUCGUGCAUGGAAUAAUAGAAAAGGAUCUCGGUCCGAUUUUGUUGGUUUUGCGGCUGAGGUAAUGAUCAAUAGGGGCGGACGGGGGCAUUCGUACUCCUGCGUGAGAGGUGAAAUUUUUGGACCGCAGGAAGACGCACUACAGCGAAGGCARUUGCCAAGCACGUCCCCGUUAAUCAAGAACGAAAGUCAGAGGAUCGAAGGCGAUUAGAUACCGCCCUAGUUCUGACCGUAAACGAUGCCAACUAGCGAUCCGUGGGUGGCCUUUCACGGCCCCGAUGGGGAGCUUCCCGGAAACGAAAGUCUUCCGGUUCCGGGGGAAGUAUGGUUGCAAAGCUGAAACUUAAAGGAAUUGACGGAAGGGCACCACCAGGAGUGGAGCCUGCGGCUUAAUUUGACUCAACACGGGGAACCUCACCUGGGCACGACACCGUCGGGAUUGACAAACUGCAGAAUUUUCAUGAUUCGGUGAAUGGUGGUGCAUGGCCGUUCUUAGUUCGUGGAGUGAUCAGUCAGGUUAAUUCCGGUAACGAGCGAGACUCCAGCCUGCUAGUUAGACCUUGAGAGAGGCAACUUCUUAGAGGGAUCCACGGCGACCCAUAGCCGAAAGAGAUGGAGCGAUAACAGGUCUGUGAUGCCCCUUGAUGCCCGGGGCUGCACGCGCGCUACACUGGCGAAUGCAACGUGUUUGUCCUGCCUCGAGAGGGGUGGGUAAUCCGCUGAAACUUCGCCGUGACUGGGAUCGGAGAUUGCAAUUAUUCUCCGUGAACGAGGAAUUCCAAGUAAGUGUGAGUCACCAACUCGCGUUGAUUACGUCCCUGCUCUUUGUACACACCGCCCGUCGCUGCCUGGAACGAGGAGGCUCGAGAAGUAUGAGGAUCGGCGAGUCGCGGCAACGCUUCACGUCAGAGAAUCAGCCUAAUCGAGACUUCUUGGACUGGGC